GUGAGUCAUCGAAUCUUUGAACGCACAUUGCGCCCCUUGGUAUUCCGAGGGGCAUGCCCGUUCGAGCGUCAUUAUAACCCCUCAAGCCUGGCUUGGUGUUGGGGCCUGCGGUCACCGGCAGCCCCUAAAAUCAGUGGCGGUGCCAUCGGGCUCUGAGCGUAGUAAUCCUUCUCGCUACAGGGCCCUGGUGGGUGCUUGCCAUCAACCCCUCCUUUCUCUAGUUGACCUCGGAUCGGGUAGGGAUACCCGCUGAACUUAAGCAUAUCAAUAAGCGGAGGA
rnacentral:misc_RNA from 1 species